GAUGAAGAACGCAGCGAAAUGCGAUAAGUAAUGUGAAUUGCAGAAUUCAGUGAAUCAUCGAAUCUUUGAACGCACAUUGCGCCCGUCAGUAUUCUGGCGGGCAUGCCUGUUCGCGCGUCAUUACGCCCCUCAAGUCCCCUGUGGACUUGGUGUUGGGGAUCGGCGAGGCUGGUUUUCCAGCACAGCCGUCCCUUAAAUUAAUUGGCGGUCUCGCCGUGGCCCUCCUCUGCGCAGUAGUAAAACACUCGCAACAGGAGCCCGGCGCGGUCCACUGCCGUAAAACCCCCCAACUUUUUAUAGUUGACCUCGAAUCAGGUAGGACUACCCGCUGAACUUAAGCAUAUCAAUAAGCGGAGGA
rnacentral:misc_RNA from 1 species